rnacentral:rRNA from 1 species
UGACCCUUUGAGAGUCCUGAAGGAACGUUGAAGACGACGACGUUGAUAGGCCGGGUGUGUAAGCGCAGCGAUGCGUUGAGCUAACCGGUACUAAUGAACCGUGAGGCUUAACCUU